GGAGGCGUCGAGCGGCGGACGGGUGAGUAAUGCAUAGGAAUCUGCCCGGUAGUGGGGGAUAACCUGGGGAAACCCAGGCUAAUACCGCAUACGCCCUACGGGGGAAAGCAGGGGAUCUUCGGACCUUGCGCUAUCGGAUGAGCCUAUGUCGGAUUAGCUAGUUGGUGAGGUAACGGCUCACCAAGGCUGCGAUCCGUAGCUGGUCUGAGAGGAUGAUCAGCCACAUCGGGACUGAGACACGGCCCGAACUCCUACGGGAGGCAGCAGUGGGGAAUAUUGGACAAUGGGCGAAAGCCUGAUCCAGCCAUGCCGCGUGUGUGAAGAAGGCCUUCGGGUUGUAAAGCACUUUCAGUGAGGAAGAAAGCCUUGAGGUUAAUACCCUCGAGGGAGGACAUCACUCACAGAAGAAGCACCGGCUAACUCCGUGCCAGCAGCCGCGGUAAUACGGAGGGUGCGAGCGUUAAUCGGAAUUACUGGGCGUAAAGCGCGCGUAGGCGGCUUGAUAAGCCGGUUGUGAAAGCCCCGGGCUCAACCUGGGAACGGCAUCCGGAACUGUCAGGCUAGAGUGCAGGAGAGGAAGGUAGAAUUCCCGGUGUAGCGGUGAAAUGCGUAGAGAUCGGGAGGAAUACCAGUGGCGAAGGCGGCCUUCUGGACUGACACUGACGCU
rnacentral:rRNA from 1 species